AGAGUUUGAUCAUGGCUCAGAAUCAACGCUGGCGGCGUGCCUAACACAUGCAAGUCGAACGCGGUUAGUAGCAAUACUAACUGAGUGGCAAACGGGUGAGUAACGCGUGGGUGACCUACCUUCGAGUGGGGGAUAACGUCCCGAAAGGGACGCUAAUACCGCAUAACAUCCUGUCCUUGAACGGAUGGAGAUCAAAGCCGGGGAUCGUAAGACCUGGCGCUUGAUGAGGGGCCCGCGUCUGAUUAGCUAGUUGGUGAGGUAACGGCCCACCAAGGCGACGAUCAGUAUCCGGCCUGAGAGGGCGGACGGACACACUGGGACUGAGACACGGCCCAGACUCCUACGGGAGGCAGCAGUGGGGAAUUGUUCACAAUGGGCGCAAGCCUGAUGACGCAACGCCGCGUGGAGGAUGAAGGUCUUCGGAUUGUAAACUCCUGUUGCUCGGGACGAAAAGCCUCGACCUAACACGUCGAGGUCUGACGGUACCGAGUGAGGAAGCCCCGGCUAACUCUGUGCCAGCAGCCGCGGUAAUAC
rnacentral:rRNA from 1 species